AAGACAAAACUUGUCUUUGUGUCUGAACUCAUAUAUAACUGACAUUCAUAGAUUGACAUUAUCGUUAUUAUUGUUAUUGGGUUCCCUGUGGGCAUGAUGUCACGUGAUUGAUGAGCCCACGAGGGAUUUGUUGAGUUCAUUAAACCCAUUCAGACAAGCACUCUUUCCGUAGUUUUAAUCGUAGUUUUAAUCCCCCAACACGCCGAUACAUUGGUGCCGUGACCAGGAUGGAGGAGCUGCAACGUCUAAUUGCCUCUCGGCGAGGCCACAGGAGCCAUCUUACGAAGUUAAUGAAGAAAUCCGAGGAGAUGUUUACCAAAGAUGGCGGGUUUACCGAACUCGAACUCGCAUCGGCGAAAAACACAACGCAACAACUCGAAGCAAAGGCUGGGAAACUCCGAGACUUAGAUGAGAUCAUAGCCCCGAAAAUCGAGAAGCCUGAAGAUUUGGAGGAGGAAAUAAUGGAAACGGAGGAAAUCCAGGAAGGGAUCACAGAUAUGAUUGCAAAGCUAAGUGUGAUCAUUAACAAUGACAAUGUACCGAGUGUUAAUACUCCCUCCCCCGUCGUUCCGCCGUCUGUCGCUUCAACAUCCUCUCCCCAAAGCGCUUCUUCCAUGUCUCAAAAUCCAACCAAUAUAGAUCCAACCCAAGUCGUGCCACCCUCAAACACAACUCAAGUUGUCCCGCCCCCAAACAUUACUCACCCCAGCAAUGAGCCUUUCAUUCCCCAAGCAAGUAACUUCAACUCCUAUAGCACACGUCUCCCAAAGCUGAACUUGCCCGUUUUUAGUGGGGACCCGUUGGAGUGGAUGACCUUCUGGGAUUCCUUUAAUGUAGCUGUUCACAGCAAGCCAGGCUUGCCUGAUGUAGACAAGUUUAAUUACCUAAAGGCCCAGGUUUCAGGGGAGGCAGAGCAAGCAAUUGGGGGCUACCUAAUUUCAGGGGAUAAUUAUGUGAAGGCACUGGCCACCCUCAAGGAACGUUUUGGGCAAACACACAGACUGACGAAUGCUCAUAUGACUGCUCUAUUAUAUCUGCAAUUUCCCACAAGCAAUCUUGAGAGCUUGCGCCCCUUUUGUGAUGCAUUGGAAACCAAUAUAAGAGCACUAGAAGCCCUCGGCAAGUCCCAAGACUCCUUUGGGGAACUCCUUAUUCCUGUUAUUUUAGGAAAGCUCCCUAAUGAAACCAAGCGCAACCUAGCCAGGACACAACAAGGGGGGGACUGGACCAUACAAGGUCUGAGGGAAGCUCUUAAGCAUGAGCUUAUGGUUUUAGAAGCAGGAUCCCCCCUCCUGUCGGAUUCUACACCCACAGCCUCAUUCUUUACCGGGGUAAAGGGGCCUCAUCCCCAGGGGAAAGGCAAACCCAAGGUCAUUCAGUGUGUUUACUGUAAAAGGAAGCACAGUACACAUAACUGCGCCACCGUUUCUGACCCUAAGGCAAGGAAGGACAUUGUUGUCAAGCUAAGGCUCUGUUAUAAUUGCCUUUCAUCCUCCCAUAUCAGCUCCAAAUGCACCUCGAAGUUUCGCUGCCGUCAAUGCAGAGGUAAACAUCACACCACAAUUUGUGAGAGAGACAAGGGGCAAGGUCCUCACCCUGGGGACAAGGAGCUUCCACCCCAAGCAGAGCAAUCCCAGUCGGUUCAUACCACAUUAGCACCAGCACACCCCUAUGGCAUCACCCAUGAGUAUCCGAUACUUCUAAAAACUGCCGUAAGCCAUGUCAGGGUUGGGAAUACUAGCAGGGAGGUGAACAUACUUCUCAAUGAGGGCGCGCAACGCUCCUUCAUUACUAAGAAACUCGCUGAUGAACUCGGCGCAAAGCCUAUUUCAAGGGAGAAUAUCUCCAUGUCUGCCUUCGGGGCAACAGAACAUUCCCUUAGGAGACUAGAAGACAAAUGUUGAAGUAAUCAGUGAGCAAGGGGAUAGGAUUCCUCUCCGGGUGCUUGUUGUUCCACAUAUAGCCACCCCCUUGCAAUGCAAAUAUCACACAGAUGUCAGUAACAUGCCCCACCUGAAAGGAUUGAAAUUAGCACACCCAGUGUCCAGUGGUAAUUUCGAGAUCAACUUGUUAAUUGGUGCUGACCAUUACUGGGACAUUGUUCAAGAUAAGAUUAUCCGAGGGGAAGAGGGGCCCACAGCUAUGCAGUCCAAAUUGGGCUAUCUACUAUCUGGUCCUGUAAGGGCCAGGGGGAUGCAGGGCAAUGUGACUAACAUAUUCCACAUUUCAGCCCACCAAGAAGAUGAAUUUGAUCUACAGCAAUUUUGGUCCCUAGAGUCAAUGGGCAUAUCACCCAAUGCUGACCCCCCUGAGAAGAACUUCUUGACUAAUUACCAGGCCACCUCGAUCACUAGAGACGAAGACGGCACAUACAUUGCUGGGUUUCCCUGGAAAGAAGAGCACGCCCCUCUCCCAACUAACUUCAGUAUCUGCGAGAGACGCACAAGGGCUACCGCACGACGACUUCACCAGAUUUGAUGAAGAGUUAUGACGACAUCAUCAAGGAACAAGAGGCCAGAGGGUUCAUUGAGAAGUUGUCACCAGGCUCCCUCGACCCCAAGUCUGAACGACUGCCUAGAGGUCGGUUCACCUUACCUAGCCGACAUGGGCUCGAUUUUAGUGCGGUUUCGCGCCAACCCUAUUGGAAUUUCUACCGAUAUAGAAAAAGCUUUCCUCCAUGUACGUCUCAGCGAAGCUGACCGCGACAUGACCCGGUUCCUAUGGCUAUCCGAUCCCGGUGACCCCGAAAGUGAGUUCCAGACCUACCGUUUCAAGUCGGUCCUUUUUGGCUCUGCGAGCUCCCCCUUUAUGCUGAAUGCUGUCCUUCAAACACACCUUGAUAAUCAUAAGACACCAGUCACACAGGACAUGAGGGACAAUCUCUAUGUUGACAACAUCAUCACCGGCGGUGAAACACGCGUCAAGAUAGGAGACGUUGUCCAGAUCCACAGCGAGAAAAAGAGGUUGAAGUGGAAACUAGGCGUAGUGGAAGAUCUGAUUAGAGGUGCCGACGGAUGUGUACGGGCUGUAACCUUAAAAACAGCUAAGGGUCACACGAACAGACCUAUCUCCAAGCUAUAUCCCCUUGAGAUUACUACUGAUGUUGGGGAAACUGCAGACGCGCAGACAGGAGGUCAGCUCCAGUCCAACCAACCUAUCAGGAGAAGCAUGCGAAUCACAGCUGCCACAAGGGACCGCAUCGCAGACUGGGCCCGACAACUACGCCCCCCCCCCCCCCCCCCCCCCCCGGAGGAUGUCUGAGCUCAUAUAUAACUGACAUUCAUAGAUUGACAUUAUCGUUUUUAUUGUUAUUGGGUUCCCUGUGGACAUGAUGUCACGUGAUUGAUGAGCCCACGAGAGAUUUGUUGAGUUCAUAAAAAACCGAUUCAGACAA